rnacentral:misc_RNA from 1 species
UGAUUUAACUUCGUCGCCGAAAGAGGACGUCUUCCAAGGAAGAGGUUUCGGAAGGGGCGAAACGUCGGCAAAGGACGCGCGCGUUGAGCGGCAUUGUGUCUGCCUUGCAUUCGUGUCCUUCCCUCUCCCACCACCAGGCACACUUAUCCGAGCAUACACACACACACACACACGAUCGAACAAGGGUGACUUCUCUGGGAAGGGGAGUGCUGAGGGAGAGGUCCCUCUCGAGUUUCCGUGUGUGACUUUUGCACACCACGCCGACACCGGGCAAGGGGACGGCGUUUUCUGUCCUUCUCCCUUUCCCUCUUUGUCGCGCCUUUCCCCACUGAAGGCAUCCCUUUUCUUGGUGGUGGUUGUUUCGAUGUGCGUGUGUGUGUGCUAAUCCGUCCCGCUCCCUGCCUGCCUCCCCCUCUGUAACUAUCUGUUGUGGUCGUGCUCCUCCUCGUGCGCUCCACUUUCCCGUCAAGUGGACGUUGCAUCAUCGUGAGUGGGGUUUCUCGUGGGGUUUUGCGUUUAAUUUUACCUGUUUGUGUGUGCGUGUGUUUUCCGCUCCUCUUUGUGUGCUGUGUUGGUGUAGGGUUUGCGCAGAGGUCGACCCGGACGUCCGUCUUCCCUUUCUUGUUUUCCCGUCAAUACUCCAUCCUCCGUUUUCGUCCCUCGUUGUUGUUGCUGUUGUCUUUCUGUGCCGUUCUUCUGCGGCCGCCUGGGAGUUCUCGCGCCGAGCUGCGCUAAUUGACAUGGACGCCAUUUUAGAUUUCAGUAAGCCGCUCGAUGUACAGCGGUUUGAGCAGGUCGUGACGGCCAUGUCCUCCGGUAGUCCAGCGGAAAUUAUGGAGGCGCAGGAGGUGCUGACGCGUUUCAAGGCGAACCCAGAGGCGUUCUUCCGCGUCGACAAGCUGCUCACCGAGUCGCGCAACACAAACACGCGCUUCUUUGCGCUGCAGGUAUUGGAUGAUACGAUUCUGCAUCGAUGGAACACCCUCUCCGCAGACAACCAGCAGGCGAUUCGCAACUUCGUUGUGAGCCUGAUCGUCCGCGAGUGCACGAGCUUCGCCCACAUCCGCCAGAACCGCACCCUGCUGACAAAGAUGAACAUGACACUCGUGUCGAUCGCGAAGCGCGAGUGGCCGGUGCGGUGGCCGAACUUUGUGCAGGAAAUCUCGACAAGCGCGUCGCCAUCGGAGCCGAUGGUGGAGAACAACCUCAACCUACUUCGCCUUGUAGGAGAGGAGGUGUUCGAGUUCGGCGAAAAGACGCUGACGUCGCGGUGGGUGGAGCGUAAGAAGCAGGCUCUGGCACAGGACUUCCGCUUCAUCAUGGAGCUGUGCGUCAUGGUAAUCGUCAACGCAGAGGACACGGUGCUGCUCCGCACGGCCCUCUCCACGCUGGAGGUGUACGUGCCGUGGAUGACACCGGAGCUCAUCUUCAAUGAGCAAGUGCUGCAAAGCAUCUCGCGUCUGGUCGUCAGCGACGGCAACGUCCGUAGCGAGGCGGUGCGGUGCUUGGCAGAGAUGUGCUCUGCUGCCACGAGUAGCGGUGCCGCCGGCGAUCAGCAGGUGCGCUGCAUUCUCGAAACAUUCAAGACAGCGCUCGGGAACAUCAUGAGCGCGUUCCCGACGACCCACUCCUCCGUUAUGGAGCGCGUCGUCACCUUGUACGAGCAGGGGUCGCUGGUUGACAAGGAGUACGUGGCGAAUUUGAACCUGCUCCUGAUUGCUUUCCUUAGACACUACUACGCAAGCAUAUCUUACGACGACAUGUUGCUCGUCACCUGUCAUGAGAUGCUCGUCGGCAUGAGCAACAUCAACGAAAAGGAGCUCUUUAAGGCGUGCGUGGAAUACUGGUGGUGGCUGGGCGAUCACCUGCUGCGGGCGCCCGCCAGCGUUGUGAAGCGGAACCUCAUGUCGAAGCUGCCGCGGGUUCUCUCCGACGUUCGCUUUGUGCUUAUCCGCCGCAUGGCGAAGCCGGAGGAGGUGAUCAUUGUAGAAGAGGAGGGCGAGAUUCGCCGGCAGCACGUCACCGACGUCGAGGAGCUGCAGCUCUACAAUCUGAUGCGGCAGACGCUGGUGUUCCUCACCCACCUGGACCCGAAGGACACGCGCAAUAUUAUGACCGAUCUGAUGAAGCGGCAGCUGGACCGAAGCGAGUGGUCGUGGCACAACUGCAACACCCUUUGCUGGGCUGUCGGCUCCAUCUCCAUGGCCCUCUCCGAGCAGGACGAGAGCGACCUCUUUGUGAAGAUCAUCACCGACCUCCUCACGCUCUUCAAGACCAUGAGCGGGAAAGACAACCGGGCCGUGAUCGCGAGCGAUGUCAUGUUCAUUGUUGGCCAGUACCCCCGCUACCUGCGCAAUCACGCCACCUUCCUCUCCACUGUGACACGGAAGGUGUUCCAGUUCAUGCGGGAAAAAUUUCCCGGUGUGCAAGACAUGGCCGUCGACACCUUCGUGAAGCUUAGCAAGCAGCUCGACGCCAAGUACGCGGAGGUGAACGGUAGCACCAGCCUCGCAUCCGAGGUGGCGAAGACGUGGAGCUCUAUCACAGAGAUGCUCUCCUUGCAGCAGGUGCAGACAUGCUUCAACGCCGCUGGCUACAUGAUCGCUGCCGGCUCGACGGAGCAGCAGCGCGCGCUCCUGCUCGAGACAUUCCUGACGGACACAAACGCCCGGUUCAAGGCGUGCACGGCGUCCGCGGCCGCCGCUGGGAGCGCCUUCUGCCAAAGCGAGGAAGCGAUGGUAGAGCUGCUGCACUACCUGCGCGUGUUCAGCAAUGUGGCGGACUCGUGCGGUGACGUGUUUGUGUACGAGAUGAUGAUGAUUACUCAAGACCUCUACGGUUUUUACCGCAUGUUUUCCGAGGCGCAGGUGAGGGCCAUCGCCGACGGCGGCGAGACGGCGCUGCAUCGCCCUGAAAUGAAGUACGUGCGCCUUGCCAAGCGUGAGAUUCUGCGCAUUUUUGAGCGCUUCGUGAGCCACGCGACACAGCUGAAGUUCAUCGCAGAAUCCUGCCUGCCGGACAUGUUUUCAGUCGUGCUGCUCGACUACGAGAACGCGAUUGCGGCGGCAAAGGAGCCCGGGGCGCUGGCUUUGGCGACCGCGUGCGUGCGCACUCUAGGUCGGUGUAUCGAGAACAAUUGCGAGGCGAUCCUCGACCACACGUUCAACACCACCGUCGCCAUCAUUGCCCAGGACAUGGAGAGCCACCCUGAUUUUCGUGUUAACCUUUUUAAGCUCCUGCAGGCGCUGAACGCGCACUGCUUUGAGGCGUUUAUCUGCUACACAUCCACUCACGAGGAUGUUGUGCUGGGCAUGCUGUGGGCCAUCAAGCACACGGACUACCCGACCAUGUCCACCGGACUGGAAACGCUGGACUUGUUUCUCGAGAACGUGUCGAAGUCCGAGUACGCGGAGGUGUUCUUCAAGGCUUACAUGCAGCGCAUCUUGGUGGACGUGAUGGUCGCGUCGAUGGACUCCCUGCACGCCUCUGGCUUCCAGCACCACGUCCGGAUUCUUCAGAAGCUUUUCAACGUUUCCUCCAUGGUGCCGCCGGACACGCCAACGAUUGGCAAAAACGUCAUUCGCGCCUACCUGCUGGACAGCCUCACCGUUAUUCCGACGCUGACGACGACUUCCAUUCUGAGUUUUGUGGAUAUGUGCUACGAGUCCUUCACGGAUGACGAGCGCUUUCGCACCCAGUUUGCCGACUUUCUGAUCGAGGUGAAGGUCUGGGGUGCGGAACAGGAGAACAAGAUGCAGGAGGAGGACGAGCGUCGACUGCGCGAGGAGACUAUUCCGGGCUUCUCAAACCUGUCCAUGGAAGAUCCGCCGGCAAACCCAUUCACCUCUCUCUGACGCAGGCAGAUGCGCAGAUGGGCAGGACAGGGGACCAGCCUCCAUUUGUCGGCCUCACUGUCGUCGCCACCGGCGCCCCUCCAAACACACACGCACGCCUCCCUCUUUCUUUCCUCUCAAGAUUCCCUCUGCCGAUCCUGCUGUGAGGGGCGUGCGCCCUUUUUACUUCGUUGAUUGCGUUGGUGGAUGAUACAAUGCAGAGCCACGGCAGAGUCGAGGCUUUGAGUAGCGGCCCGUGUGGAGGAAAGGAGGGGGGAACGGUGGCGGCGCAGAAUGUAUGCCGUCCGUUACGCGCUGCUCUUGAAUAACGCAGCUGAUGCACGACGAAAAGGACAAGGAGAAAAGCCGAACAAAGUACAAAACAUGCACGUGCUCUUGCCUUCUCACGCUUAUCUGCACCCCACUGUUUUGCGGACUGGUGAGACACCUCUUAACGGGCGGUGCUGAGCUGGCCCGCGUGUGUAUGCCGAUACGGCGCACAGCUUUUUCUCUGUGUGUGUGUGUGUUUAAGUCGCCCAAAAGCGCAACAGCAG